UUUAUUAAUUUACAUUUCAAAUGUUAUCGCCUUUCCCUGUCUCCCCUCCGGAAACACCCUAUCCCAUCCUCCCUCUUCCUGAUUCUAUAAGGAUGCUCCCUCACCAACCCACCCACUCCUGACUCCCUUCCCUAGCUUCCCCAUACACUGAGGCAUCGAGCCUUCCCAGGAGCAAGGGCCUUUCCUCCAAUUGAUGUCCAACAAGACAAUCCACUGCUACAUAUGUGGCUGGAGCCAUGGGUCCCUCCAUGUGUACCCUUUGGUUGGUGGUUUAGUCCUUGGGAGCUCUGGUUGGUGUCUGUUCUUCCUUAGGGAUUGCAAUCUCCAUCUCCAUCAAUCCUUUCUCUUAUUCCUCCAUUGGAGAUCCCAUGCUCAGUCCAAUGGUUGGCUGCGAGCAUCUGCCUCUGUAUUUGUCAGGCUCUGAUAGAGCCUUUCAGGAGACAGCUAUAUCAGGCUCCUGUCAGCAAGCACUUCUUGGCAUCCGCAAUAUUGUCUGGGUUUGUUGUCUGUAUAUGGAAUGGAUCCCCAGGUGGGGCAGUCUCUGAUGGCCUUUCCUUCAGUCUCUGCUCCACACUUUGUUUCUGUAUUUCCUCCCAUGAGUAUUUUGUUCCCCCUUCUAGGAAGGACUGAAGUAUCCACACUUUGAUCUUUCUUCUUCUUGAGCUUAAUGUGGUCUGUGAAUGAUAUCUUGUCACUUGAGUUUUUUAUUUUUGCCAUUAUAUUUUGCCAUUCUGAUUGCUGUGAGGUAGAAUCUCAGGGACAUUUUGAUUUUCAAUUCCCUGAUGAACAAGGACUUUGAACACUUCCCUGACAUUUUUAAAUUGGGUUCUUUGGGUUUUUUGGAGUCUAACAUCUUGAGUUCUUUAUAUAUUUGGGAUAUUAGUCCUCUAUGGAAUGUAGAGUUAGUGAAGAUCUUUUCCCAAUCUGUAGGUUGCUGUUUUGUUCUAUGGAUAAUGUCCUUUCCCUUACAAAAGAUUUUCAGUUUCAUUAGGUCCCAUUUAUAUUUGAUACGUUUUUAUUUAAAUACAUUUUUAGGAAGUAUUAAUUCUACUAAGUUCUCCACCUUACUAAUAAAUUGUAACAAAUAUGAAAUAGAAUUAAAUUUUAAGGUUUUUCUUUUGUUUCUUUUGUUUUUAGUUUUUAGUUUUUGAUUUUUUUUUUAACAGGGUUUCUCUGUAUAGCCCUGGCUGUCCUGGAACUCACUCUGUAGGCCAGGCUGGCCUUGAACUCAGAAAUUCACCUGCCUCUGCCUCCCAAGUGCUGGCAUUAAAGGUGUGUACCACCACUCCCCAGCAAAUUUUAAGUUUUUAAAUCUUUGCUUAUCUAUAUUUUUAAUGUUAAUGGUGAUAAUAGAUAAAAGACUGACUUCAUGCUAACCAAUGAUAAAUUGAGACAUUUAAUUAAUGGCUUUUAUGAGGUAUGUGUGGGUGUAUGCAUAUGCCAUGACACAAAUGUGGAGGUUGGAGGUCAGUUUCCUCUUUAUACCUUUAUGAUGUUCUGAGGGUUCUGAGGUUCAACCUGGUUAAUGAGUUUAGACACUAAGUCUAACUCUUUCCUGUUUUCCCACUUGCUUGCUAGAAGCUUGAUUUAUGGGAAAUAAUUCAGUUGCUUUAGUGCAUAUUUGUACAAGGCAAAAUUACUCCACAAGACACUACAGGGUUGGUUUUCCCAGUUUCUCUUUGUCUUCUCAGAGACAGACAAGGAAACUAUAAUCACAGAAUAUUCUAAGAAAGAUGAAUAAAGGCUCUGCAUCUGUAUAACACAGCCUCUUAGAUUUUGUUCUGUCAUUCAGCAUAGCGGUUCCUAACACGUUUAAAAUGCAAAUUUGCACUUUAAGAUAAUUUAUGAAUUGUUGUGAUAUAUUUUGAAAGCAUAUUGCACAAGCCAGGCAAGCAUACAAAAGAUGUCACCACUUAAUUCAUCAUUUUGCAGGAUAGUGUGGUGUGAACUUCUUUGUUAUAGUUUACUGAGGCACUCAGAACCCUGCCAGUGGUCUCUUUCACAAUGCUGUUUCAUGUGGUAUCAUACUUAUAUGAAACUUCACGGUGACAGAUAUUCUAAAACACUCUACAAUGCCUAAAUAGUUAGAGAAUGAAUUGAAUUCUGAAAACUUAAAUCUGAACCCUAUUGUACAUAGUGGAAAUUAUAAUUUUAAAAUGAGAUAUAUGUAUUUUGUGUGUUCAUUAGAACUAAAGGCAAUCAAGAUGCCAACAGAUAGCACUUGGCCAGAAGAGGUGCUGUGGAUAGAAGAUGCCUUGCUUACUGUAACAAAUAUAUCAGAAUGUUUCAGAGAUCCAGUGAGAUAUUACUGGAGGUUGCCAUUUAUCAGCCCUGCAACUUUUAGACACAAGGCUGAAAAAUGGAUAGAUGUACAAACAAGCAAUAUGUCACAAUUGAGUAAAAUAAGGACCAGGAUAGAAAUCACUCUACCGGGGCUGGUGAGAUGGCUCAGUGGGUAAGAGCACCCGACUGUUCUUCCAAAGGUCCGGAGUUCAAAUCCCAGCAACCACAUGGUGGCUCACAACCAUCCGUAACGAGAUCUGACUCCCUCUUCUGGAGUGUCUGAAGACAGCUACAGUGUACUUACAUAUAAUAAAUAAAUAAAUCUUUAAAAAAAAAAAAAGAAAGAAAUCACUCUGCCUGGUGGGGUGGAUAGUUAUAUGCUCUGAACUCAGACUUCUUAUCUUUAAAACAAAGAUUAUAAUGCCUACCUUGCAGCAGUUUGUUACAGGAAGGCAAAGAAGGUAAAAUAUCCAUUUCUUUUCCAGUGUGAGAGGAAUUAAAAGGAUAAAGGAGCAAUACAUCACCACAGUAAAUAUUCAUUGCAUUUUUUUGUUUAUCAAAGUAUGUGAUGAUAAUAUUGUCCUAAGAACUUUAUAGAUAUGACCUAACUUUUCAUAAGUCUGCCACCAUACAAAUACAUGCACCUGUUGUACUCCUCCUACCACACUCAAGAGAAAUUCAACCUCUGAAGAGUUAGGUUAAGGUAAAGUAUUAAGGUAAAGCCCACACAGCUGGCCUUUCUCCCAAGGUGUAUUUUAGGCAGGUCAGGCCACUAAGUCCUAGUCCUAAAACUAUCAUGAGUACUCCUCCCUUGAUGUUAAAAAAAUGGGAUUUAAGGAGAUACAGGUUGUUGUUUAGGGACAGGGAAUUUUCUCCUGGCUUCUAUUUAACUCCCAGACUUUCCAUUGGCUCUUUGAUGUGCUAUCCCAAGGUGGCUAUUGUACCAAGAAGGUCUCCACAAUUUUAUCAUGAGUGGUGUGAUACAGAAUGAGAGUGUGCCCGACAGACCUGGGAAAAUAGUUGCCCACCUUACACAGAGGUGGUUCAUCCACUAGGCAAACUGUUGUUUCUUCUUAAUUUAUAUGAUGUAAUGGACUUGCUACAAAAAUACAACAGGCAUUUACUAGAAUUAUCUUUGUUUUCCAUGAACACCUAGUGAAUUCAGAUAAUGUUAUCAUCAUAGGCUUAGGAGAACCACUUCUGUUUGGUUUUGGACUUAUUUAAAUACUUAGAAAUCCCACUUAGCAUUUGUUUUUAAAGCUAUCUUCUCCCUUUACUACAUAUGCAAAUUAUCUCAUUUUUAUUAUCCACUUUGGCAUUUUAAAAAGUUAGCAAAAGUAUCCUUGAUAACAGUGUUUUCUGGCUGCCACUUAGAGGUAAUUCUAGUUGCAUGGUAUUAUGAUUAGAAUCAGAAGCUGAGCUGAAACAGCAGCUAUCAUAUACAAAUGAGGAAGAGACAAAAGAGUGUGAUUAUAGAAGGACAGAAAUGUUAAGAAAAUGUCACAUCAAGUAUCUCCCACUCUACACAAGCUAUAAAUAAGUGUAACACUUCAUGAGCUAGGCAAGGCCAGCAAGGAAAAUAUACUUUGAAAUGCAACUCUAUUAAAAUUAGUCAUUUAUAGCAUAUAGUGUGCAUUAGAAAGAACAACUUAAAAACAACAACAAAGCACCCUGACUUUUGCUAACCUGCUUAAGCUUCUUUCUUAAUGGGGAUAUCAUAGAGAAAGCAAAGUUAUUAUGAUAAAACUAGCCUGGGUGAUUUUUUUCAUUCAAAUGGAAGUUUCAAUUCACUUCUAUUUUCAUUUCUGUUGUGGAAAUUACAUCCCAAUCCCUUUACAUCAGGAACUCAGCUGUUUUACAUUCCUGAAGUUCCCACUUAGUCAAUGUUCAGCAGAUCUUACGAUUUAAUAAGUAUGUAAUCUGAGUGAAAUACAAACACAAGUUGACUGGCAUGUGACUUUGAUGUACUGACCACAUGAAUGUUAAUCUGUACUUGGGUCUUAGAUCACAGGGAAAAUUUGGCUUCCUCUGUUCUCUUUACUGAAAGUUGCUUUCUGUGGUGUAGGUUGUAUCCAGAGAUUGAGAGCUUCCUGCCUUUAUUUCUUUGGCUCUCUUUGUUAGCUCAAAGAGUCAUAUUUUUAAGGGAAAAUGAAGGGGUUGGAAAGAAGGGGAGAGGAGAAGAAGAGGAAUGAGGAAAGAAGGAAAAAGAAAGAAGUGAGAGGAGGAGGAAAGGACCUUCCUUCGACCUCUCUUACUCAGUUACCUUGGGUCAUCCAGUCACUCUCACCAGGAAAAACUACAGAGUAGAUUAUUUAAACUCAGGCUGGAAGUCCAUUCCUGAAUAUUUAGAAUAAUCUAGAUAAAGGUUCCUGUCCUUAUGUGGCUUUAUGAAAUGAAAGGCAGAAAAGCGAUCAGGAAACAUCCAUUUUAGUUCCUGAAGCUAAAUAAGAAAAAGUUUCAUUUUCUAAAAGGCACUGUCUGUUAACAAACUGGAAAAAUCUCACCUGUGGUAUCAGAUGUCAGGAUUAAGAUUAACUCUGGAUAGUGCUGGAACAUGGCAUGCUGGAUCCUCAUGAGAUAGGAUAAAGUUUUCUUCCUUUAUCUGGUUGGUAGGUAUAUCAUGGGUCUUUUCACCUUUUUAACCAGCUAUAUAUUAUUGAUAUAAACACCUUUCUCCACUAAUUAUACUUCCAUUAGUAAAACUUAUUGAGAGUAUAAAUUUGCCCAGUUGUCUGUGCAUAAUAACUUACAUGAAUGAAAUAUGAUAACUGCUCCCAGUGGUUCAUACAGAGCACUGAGACACCAUGGAAUGUUUUAGCAAAAUGAUGAGGACAGGACAUAUCUUCAAAUGUUGAAGGAAGCAGGAAUAUUCAGCAACUGCCAAUCAAUAUGGUUUUGUACACACUGUAAAUGGGAUGGCUCAUAUCUUUUAUCUUACUUCAGGCUAUAUCAUUUUGAGUCUUGGAUUUGAAAGCCUGAUUUUAUUUUUCUGCAAGUGCUGUGAUAACAAAACUGAAUGGGAGGUGCAGGAGGUGUAACAUCUAGCAUGGAAAUAUGUUCAAAGGUUUAAGAAAUUGCACAGUACCCAGAAGAAAGUAUAAUCCUCUGGCAAUUAUGCCUAUUGAGAAGGAAGUAAAUAUGGUAUUGAGUUAAUUUUGUUAAUGGGCUGCAAAGUUGGGCAUCACUAAGUUGCUUAGGCAUAAUGUCUUCAUACAUGUAAUUGGCAUUUAUUUCUUUGCUUUAGAUAUAAUGAAAAUGUUAGUAAUAUGGUGAGUGCUAUGAGCUGAUAAAAUUUUGAAAUAACUACAUUAUACUAUUUUCUGAUUGAUCAGUUACCUACAAUUCUUUAAUUCAGGUCAGAAGAUAAGAGACUAAAGGAAUCAAGAAGUGAUUUACAGUUCUCUGUCUUUAAAAAGAGCAUGUUGAAUGGGUAAUUUUUAUUUUAUCAUAACUCAGGCACACAGUUCUGAAAAGAUGCUCAAGAUUCCAGGUGCCUCAAUGAAGAAGCCACUGUACUUGACAGGCCUUAGUUAGGGACCACAUGUGGCUUUAUGGUGCAACUGUUAUAAAUAUGUUUUAGAGUCGUGUUAGCAUGUUUCCAUUGUGUUCAAGUGGCUUUUAUUUUCUCCUGUCAGAAAAAUGGGAGAAAGGGAUGAGAGGACGCUUGUUCUUACAUCUUUGUGCUAAGAUUUUGGUCCCCAUGUGGUUUUUACUUUUUAUGAACUUGAAUCUCCUUAGUACUAAGAAGCUUAGUAUUCUGGAGGCCAAGAUGACACAACAUGUUUCAAUGUGGUUACUUGGCACAAAGCUUAGCUCAUGCAGAGCAGUUUUAAACAUACUAUCACUAUACUAUUUAAAAAUUGUCUACAUUGUUUCUCCUCUCUGCCUAAGGAAGCAAAACUACAAAGCAGAUUUUGCUCUAUCUUUAAAAAGCAACAGCAUGGGGCCGGUGUGGUAGCACACACCCUUAAUCCCAGCACUUGGGAGGCAGAGGCAAGCGAAUUUCUGAGUUUGAGGCUAGCCUGGUCUACAGAGUGAGUUCCAAGAUAGCCAGGGCUACACAGAGAAACCCUGUCUCAGGAAAAAAAAAAUCAGCAUGUAUAAAAUGAACUAGGCCAUAGCUCAGAAAUAGAGGCAUCAAGAAGAUGCUUGAGAUUUGAAAGAUAAUGGAACUAGAGAGAAACAAGGAUUAAUUUGUGAAGGAAAAGACUAGAAAAUGCUUUUGAUGCACAUGCUAUUCCCAUUGGGAAUAUUCCCUUAUGCAUGGGUGUUUGCCCUAGGCAAAGGUGGAGUUGAAUGUACUUUAGCUAUAGGGAAGAGGGCCAGUGAGGUCUUCUGGCUGAGGAAGGGCUGGUUUGGGUGUCAGAAAAGCUCUUGUGUUUGUACAGAGGGAUGAGAAGCACUCACAGGAGAACAGAGAAAGGAAACAAGUCUGUAAUACAGCUUGAGAGGAGUGUGGUUGAUAUUCACCUUUAUUUUCUGAAUGUGAGCUAGAUUUUGUAGUUGAAGUUUUGAGCCCAGUCAGGAAAGGUUUUAGUAGUCAUGAAACAUGAGAGCUCAAGAGGAGUACUAAGGUGCAUUAAAACAUGUCAGCACUCAUCCCUUUAUUUUUUCUCAGCCAUUUUAUUAUUUUCCUCUUCUGCCUUUGACCUACUCUGCUACUUCUGUGCUUUUUGCCUUUCUGACACACUGAAUUCUCAUUUUGACCUCAGGAAGUUGUGGUUCUUUAUAUAUGCUAUUUGACAAAAUACCUGUUAUAUCUGACUAGGACCUGGAUGCACAUUCUACAGGAAUUUAUUAUAAAUCUAUGUAGCCAUGAACUUGUGAAUAAUCCAAAGAAAAAUGGGAAGUCUUCACUACAUUGUUCACUAUUUUCACUGCCAGUGAGAUUAAUUCUUAUUUGAUGAGUCAGGGAGACUUAAUUGCCAAGACCAUCUUGGUUAGUUGAGCAUGGUACGGAAUACCUGAUUCUCAAAAGAUUUAUUCCUACAGAAUUUAGUGGAAAGUGUAGACCUUGGAGUGAUACAGUACAGUGGUCCUACUUCACAUAGCAGGGGUUUAUCAUAUUAAGGUAGUCCAUAUUAAAAUUAUCAUUAUGUGACAUUGAAAUUUUAUAUAAGGGUUCUUUUACAGCUUUUAGAAUUUGACAGAGACCUGCUUGAUUAAUCCUAUGUUAUUGGUGUCUAAGGUUAGCUAUGAUUUGCCUGAGUAGGAGAUGCUAAGUCAAAAUGAAAUGGAUUAAUAACAUGUAUUUUUUUUUAGUUAAGCUUUGGGAUUGUCAACUGUGCAGCAUUCCAGGACUGGCACAGAUGAACCUGAAGUUGAUCUUUUAUUCUAACAUGUUAAAAUAAAUGUUCAGACUUUUAAGAAAAUGUAUAAGGAAGGACACCAAACUAAAGGUAGUAAGUUCACUGAAUGAUCUCCUCUGCCUAGUGGGAAUUUCUUAUCAAACACAAAAGAGAAAGUGAAAUAAUUACCAUAGUUAUUGUGACAUGGGGGAAUAUCUCCAAGCCAACUUGCAUUAUUUCAUAAAAUAUUUAUCAUGGUACACAUGGUACAGUGUUGUGAUGACAAAAUGAUUAUAUUUUAGUUAAAGGCACCAGAAUGUUUCCAUGGCUGUGGCCCCUGUAGGAAGAGGCUGACUUUAUUAAAACAUUCCUGUGUGUUAUUCAGCCUCCACUAUGUCCCAGACCAGCUAGUUAAAUUAUUUUUCAAGAACUUUAAACCUACAUACAUAAAGAAUAUAUAAAUGAACAAUAUCCCUUCUGAUAUAUCUUUUCCCUGACAAAAUUCUCCAUUUUUCAUUUUGAGCCUAAAAGUACUAUUAAGCUUUUUUUUUAAAAAAACAAACAAACACCUUCACAAACAAGGUCCUAGGUUCAAACUUCAGCAUUGAAACAUAAAUUUAAAGCCGGGCAUUAGUGGUGCAUUAACCCCAGUAAUUUGGAGGUUCAAGGCUAGAUUGGCCUUCAGAGUGAGUUCCAGGACAGCCAGAGGCUACAGAGAAACCCUAUCUCAAAGAGGAAGAGGAGGAGCUGGAGGAGGAGGAGGAGACCUUUGGUCCCUCCAACCUACAGUUCCUCAUCCCAUUCCUCCUCCACCUUGCUUCUGAGAGAGUGCUGCCCCCCUCACCAGGUCUCCCCAUUCCCUGGGGCCUCAAGUCUCUCAAGAAUUACGCCCAUUUUCUUCCACUGAGGCUUGAACAGGCAGAACCCUGCUAUGUAUGUGUCAGAGGCCUCAGACCGGACCAUGUAUGCUCCUGGUUGGUGAUUUAGUCUCUGGGUGCUUCCUGGAGUGUGGGUUAGUUGAGUCAUCUGGUCUUCCUAUGGGGUCACUUUCCCUUUCAGCUUCUUCAAUGCUUUCCCUAGUUUAACCUUAGAGGUCUUCAACUUCAGUCCAGGGUGUAAGUAUCUGUGUCUGUCUCAGUCAGCCACUGGUUGGGCCUCUCUGAGGAUAGCCAUACCAUACUCUUGUCUGUAAGCACAUCAUUGCAUCAGUAAUAGUGUCAGACCUUGUGUACCCCCCCAUGAGAUGUAUCCCACGUUUUGCCGAUCAUUGGACCACCUUUUCCUUCAGUCUCUUCUCUAUUUUUGUCCCUGAAGUUUUAUUCUUCACAGGAACAAUUCUGGGUCAGAAAUUUUGACUGUGGGUUGGUAACCCUGUCUCUCCACUUGAGACCAUGUCUAUCUACUGAAGGUAGACUCUUCUUGUUCUCUUUUCCCAGUGUUGGGCAUUUUGAGUCCUGAAAGUCUCUUCCCUCCAUGGUCUCUGGUACUUUCUAGAGGUCCUCCCCCACUUCCUACGCUGCCAGGGCUGCUUAUUUCCAUUCAUUCUCUUGAACCUCUGGAAUUCCCUCUUGUCCCCCAUCAUAUCUGAUCCUGUUCCCCCUUUUAUCUCCUCCUACCCUUUCCCACAUAAGUCCCUCCCUCCCUCUAGCUCCUGUGAUUAUUCCCUCCCCUACUAUUUUUUAUUAGAUAUUUUCUUUAUAUACAUUUCAAAUGCUAUCCUGAAAGUUCCCUAUACCCUCCCUCUGCCCUGCUCCUCUACCCACCCACUCCUGCUUCUUGGCCCUGGCAUUCUGCUGUACUAGGGCAUAUAAAGUUUGCAAUACCAAGGGGCAUCUCUUUCCAGUGAUGGCCGACUAGGCCAUCUUCUGCUAUGUAUGCAGCUAGAGACAUGAGCUCUUGGGGUACUGGUUAGUUCAUAUUGUUGUUCCACCUAUAGGGUUGCAGACCCCUUCAGCUCCUUUGGUGCUCUCUCUAGCUUCUCCAUUGGGGGCCCUGUGUUCCAUCUUAUAGAUGACUGUGAGCAUCCACUUCUGUAUUUGCCAGGCACUGGCAUAGCUUCAUAUGAGACAGCUAUAACAGGGUCCCUUUAGCAAAAUCUUGCUGGCAUAUGCAAUAAGUGUCUGGGUUUUGUGGCUGAUUAUGGGAUGGAUCCCUGGGUGGGGCAGUGUCUGGAUAGUCCAUCCUUUCUUCUUAGCUCCAAACUUUGUCUCUGUAACUCCUUUCAUGGGUAUUUUGUUCCCUAUUCUAAGGAGGAAUGAAGUGUCCACCCAUUGGUCUUCCCUCUUCUUGAUUUUCUUGUGUUUUGCAAAUUGUAUCUUGGGUGUUCUAUGUUUCUGGGCUAAUAUCCACUUAUCAGUGAGUGUAUAUCUAAUGACUUCUUCUGUGAUUGGGUUACCUCACUAAGGAUGAUAUCCUCCAGAUACAUCCAUUUGUCCAAGAAUUUCAUAAAUCCAUUGUUUUUAAUAGCUGAGUAGUACUCCAUUGUGUAAAUGUACCACAUUUUCUGUAUCCAUUCUUCUGUUGAGGGACAUCUGGGUUCUUUCCAGCUUCUGGCUAUUAUAAAUAAAGCUGCUAUGAACAUAGUAGAGCAUGUGUUCUUAUUACCAGUUGGAACUUCUUCUGGGUAUAUGCCCAGGAGAGGUAUUGCUGGGAUUGCAAGCUUGAACAACCACUCUAGAAGUCAGUCUGGAGGUUCCUCAGAAAAUUGGACAUAAUACUACUGGAAGAUCCAGCAAUCUAAGUUGGACUGAAGCCUCCUCACUUGGGCCUUUCUGAUUGUUGCACUUCAAAGUGUAAAAAGUUCAUUGUUCUUUCUCAACAAACAACUAAGUCAUCAAAAAAAAAUAUGCUCAUGAAAUAAAUGAGUGAAUGAGAAAAGAUGAAGAGGGCUGUGGGGGGAAAACAUAAAAUGUGUGCUCUAGAUUUUUGGUCAUUGUGGUAAUUUUAAGUACAAAAUAUUACUGAAAGUAAAGAUCAAAUAAAAAUUGUCCAGGAACUGUUAUAAGAGAAAAGGGUUUUAUGUAGCUAAUAGCUUACAUAUUUUAUUCCUGUUUGAUGAGCUGUAAAAACAAACAAAGAUUUUUAGGCUUUUGUCAGAUUUGUGAUGACAUGCCUAAUAAAUUGAAUACCAUCAUUACUUCAGAGUUUCACCUUUGUUCGUUUACAUUAAUUCAUCUUCAUCUAGGAAACAAUAUUUCUUUUCUUAUUCUUGUUGUUUCUCUUGAACAGAGAUUGGUUAUACAAUACAAUCCAUUAUAGUUUCUCUUCCAAGUCAUCCGUCUUAGCUAAAACAAGACAAUUGUUUUAAAUACUACCUAAGGCAUUAGCAGAGAGCUACAAAUUGUCUAGAUCGUCAUUGAGUUAGUGACUCAGCAGCAUUACAAUCGUAGGUGAGUAUAUAAUUCAGAAAAAAAGAAAAUUAUGCCUUUUCAAUGUGCAUAAGCUAUCACCCCUUGAUCUCAAGUAUUCAUGCAUGAAAUUUCUUUCAUUUUAAUGAGGCAAUAAGAGUUUAUCAGGAUCUUAACAUGUUUAAGAAUGUGAAAUGUGUGACAAAUAUAGUUCCAUGAGUAAAUGAUGCUUUCUGGCAGCCCUGAUGACCUUAUCUUUAUCCCUAGUAUUCAUGUGUUGGAAAAAGAGAAUCAAUUCCUGCAAGUUGUCUUCUGACCUCCCCAAACAUCCUGUGUUGCAUGUACAUACUUAUGCACACACACACACACGCUCCUAAAUAAAAUAGACAUACAAGACAGCAGAUACUAUCAUUCAUAUCCCCAAAGAAUGUUCAAUGUUAUAGGGGAUAGAGUCUAAGAACCUAAAAGAUUCAAUGUGUAGUGUCUUGGUUUAGGAAAGCCAUGAAACGAAGGUAUUUAAGAAGUACAUUUUCCUACUCAGGACCUCCAGCAUUUCUACAGUUUUUCUUGAAAUUCAUGUGUGUUACUCAUAGAAAGGAGUAAAAGGUCCAUCCUACACAAUAUAAAUGUUCUUACUUCAUGACCUCAAAAUAACCUCACAUUGCAGAAGAAUUUGUAUUGUACUGCAGAAGAAACCAAGAUUGCCAAAAGUGGCAUUUAACUCAACCACGGCCAGAAAGGAAAACAAUCAAGGAAAUAUAGAAAUGUUUUACUCACAUUUUAUGUGUGCAAAGAUUAUCUGAGAUUAGUUAAAAGUGAUUUUAUAUAUUUUGAUUCAAUUUUCAACAUCUUAUCUGUUAAUUUAGUGCUGGAAGUUGGAAUUUGAGGUUUAUUUUAGUUGACUUAGUCUUGCAAAGCCUAUGCCCACACAUUGAGGUUUUGUACUCUAGAGGCUGCUGAUGGCCACAGCAGUGUUAGGCUAACCCUGUUUCAAUGUGCAGGACUUUAUAGCGUUGUGUGAGUUCUUGAUCUGCUUAGUCCAAGUCUGGCUUAGAGAGCUAUAAAUCUGAGAUUGAAAUGACAAAUCAAGCUAUGAUGUUGCUUGAGCAAUUGCCCAAACAUCCUUAUAAAUCCUUUCUCUUAUCUAAUCUGAAAUGCAGUCUCAAUUUGCUCUCAUGAGCCCUCUGAGUUCUCCUCUUAGGUCUGCUCUCAAAGUGUCACAAAAUGUAUAUAUAAGGGGCUGGAGAGAUGGCUCAAUGGUUAAGAGCACCGACUGCUCUUCCAAAGGUCCUGAGUUCAAAUCCCAGCAACCACAUGGUGGCUCACAACCAUCCCUGGUGAGAUCUGAUGCCCUCUUCUGGUGCAUCUGAAGACAGCUACAGUGUACUUAUGUAUAAUAAUAAAAAAAACUUUUUUAAAAAUGUAUAUAUAAAUUUUAUAUGGUAAGAACUUCAGAGUCAAGUGUCUGCAGAAACCUGCAAAAUCUUCGGAGAAUACUUUUUGGGUGCCUUCUGGCUUCUGCUAAUCCUUGACAGAACUUGGAAUUUUUGUACAAAUUAUCACCUUCAUGUCUCUCUUCAUUUUUACAUAGUAUUCUCUGUGCAUACAUGCCACUUUGCAUUUAAACUUUCUAUUUUUGUAAGGAAACCACCCAUCUUGGGAUCCAUCCUGUUUGCAAACACCAAACUCCGACACUGUUGCUGAUGCCAAGGAAACAAAUUAUAUUGAUUAGAACCCAUUCUCAUGAACUCACUUCAACUUUAUUAUCCCUAUAAAGAUCCGUUUCAGCAAUAGAUGUUAUUUUCAUGAAUGGGCUUCAAGAAUUCAAAGCAUCUUCUUUUUUAUUAUUUUUUGGAGGAGGAAAAUAUUUUUAUCCACAACAUCCUUUUCUCCCUCAAUUACAUUGUAAAUACAUUUUAACUGUCAGAAAUUGAUAGAAUAAUGGAGUUGUAUUUCUAAUGACUGUGGUCUGUGUGACUCCUGACUCCUAAAAAAUAAAAAGAAAUAAAAAAGAAAAGAUAAUAUUUUCUUUUUUUCUGAGAUGACACUUUUCCACUUUACCCUUGGAAUGUGUUAGGCAGACUAUGAUAAAUUUAAAUGGCCAUGAGGAGGCCUGUGGAUUGCCUUCUUAGGUAUGCUAUCAAAGUCUUGUAAAAUACAUACUUUAAACAAAAAACAUGUACUGCUUGUUUUGGAGGGUGAGAACAUCAAAGUCAAGUAUAUGUGCAACUCUGUUCUUGCAAAAGCCUGCAAAAGAGAAUCUUUUCUGGGCUUCUAGAUUUAGAGACAAAAAUUAUUCCACUGGAACUGCUUAUAUAUGAAACAUUUCUUUAUUCCUUUGAGAAAACUGACUUUCUUCUCCAUAUAUUAUCUCUAAGAUAUUGGUUUCUAUCUCUUAGAAUACUAUAAAAAAUUCAACUCAAUCUUUUGUAAGAUUUCCCAUUAUUCUGAUAUUAGAUCAUGGGAAGUAUUUUAUCUCUUCUUCUGCAUUUGUAUUAAAAUAAAAUAUGUCAAGUUAUUGAGUGGCUAUACUAUCAAUUUUACUUAAUCUUUUGGUUACUAAAAUAUUUUGAAGCAAGUUCACGUCAUAAUUGGUCAGAAAAUUCUAAAUUUCUGAAUUUUCUGUGAAUAUAAAUAUAUUUAUUUACAAUUAUUUCUAUAAUUUUAUUAUAUAAUUAUAAAUACAAUAAAUAUAAAUGGCAUAGUUAUAGCUAAUAUAUACCAUAUAUUAUAUAUCAUAUAUCAAUCAUAUACCAUAUACUACAUAUUAUAUACCAUAUGUCAUAUACUUAUAUGUGGUAUAUACUUUUAUAUAUUUGUACACAUUAUAGAUAUUUAUAUAUAAUAUAUAUUGCAUAUUUAUAUGUUAUAUAAUAUAUAAAUUAUGGCUGAUGACAAAUUCAUUCACACAACACAAUGAUGAAAGGUGAUCACAUUCAUAUUAUGGGCAUUCUUGUAUACCAUGUUUGUGAUUUCACACAUAUUGUUGUAGAAAUAUAUUUGAAAAAUUUCAUUGUAUUUUAUAUAAAAUUUCAGUGAGGUAUGGGAACUGUUAGGAAAGUAUAAGUGAGAAAAUAGGGGUUGCUAACAACAAAAAGAAUAACAUGAAGUUGAUUGGGGGUGGUGGGUUAGAGGAGUUAAUUAGAGUGAAUGGUAGAUAUACAUAAUCAAAAUGUUUUGUCCAUCACAUUCUACCCCAACCCAAGGAUCAGGAAUCACUGCAGAGAGGUAUUAGAAAAGUUAUUAGAACUAGACAUGGUGGAUGACUAAAGGGAAAAUAUGUUUUUGGAUAAGAACAAGGCAAUUGCACAAA